CAACAAUUAAUACAUUUUCUGAAAAUCUUUGAAACCAUCUAUCUUGGUGGCAAGGUCCUUUCUGUUUUACUACCCUUUUUGAUUUUCGAAAUUGAUUCCCAUUAUUAAAUCGGGAUGUGAGUAAAGCUAGAGUCUUUGUUUCUGGGUUUAUCUUAAAACUUGCUUGAAUUUUCUAGGGGUUGUUGAGACAGCUUGUCUUAUGGCCUCUGAUGGUUAUAGCGGAGAGGCUUUUUUAUUCAUUUUGAUGGUAAAGGGUGGCAUGUAAUGAGGUUUCUCUACCAUUUUGAUUCCAGAUGAGCGUGUGGCUACUGAGCUAAAGAAAGCCAUCAUGCAAGCCUGCACUGAGAAGAAGCUUACCCAGUCCCAACUUGCUCAAGUUUAGGGAAGAAUGGUGAGCUGGUGAGAAAAUCGAGUGGGAACAGGAGCCCUAAGUCGAUUGUUGAACCAGCAAAGUAUGUAGAGAAGCCAGCCAAAUGGGGGAAUCAGAAGGUUGCUCCACAAAACAUCCACCAGCCUCGUUGAAGUGGGGAUUGUGUUAACUAGUCAGGUGGCUUGAGACCAUUAAUAUCUCCACCGUCUCGAGGAAGAAGCCAACCGAAGAUAAACUAGAGCCACUUCUUUGUUUUUCUCAGGUUCAAUGUGGCAACUUAGUUUGACUCAUUACCACUGAUUUUAUUCACCUAUAUUCCAAAGCUAUAGUCCCUUUCA